rnacentral:rRNA from 1 species
UGGGGAAUAUUGCACAAUGGGCGCAAGCCUGAUGCAGCCAUGCCGCGUGUAUGAAGAAGGCCUCCGGGUUGUAAAGUACUUUCAGCGGGGAGGAAGGGAGUAAAGUUAAUACCUUUGCUCAUUGACGUUACCCGCAGAAGAAGCACCGGCUAACUCCGUGCCAGCAGCCGCGGUAAUACGGAGGGUGCAAGCGUUAAUCGGAAUUACUGGGCGUAAAGCGCACGCAGGCGGUUUGUUAAGUCAGAUGUGAAAUCCCCGGGCUCAACCUGGGAACUGCAUCUGAUACUGGCAAGCUUGAGUCUCGUAGAGGGGGGUAGAAUUCCAGGUGUAGCGGUGAAAUGCGUAGAGAUCUGGAGGAAUACCGGUGGCGAAGGCGGCCCCCUGGACGAAGACUGACGCUCAGGUGCGAAAGCGUGGGGAGCAAACAGG